rnacentral:rRNA from 1 species
GAUGAACGCUGGCGGCGUGCCUAAUACAUGCAAGUCGAGCGAACAGACGAGGAGCUUGCUCCUCUGACGUUCGCGGCGGACGGGUGAGUAACACGUGGAUAACCUACCUAUAAGACUGGGAUAACUUCGGGAAACCGGAGCUAAUACCGGAUAAUAUAUUGAACCGCAUGGUUCAAUAGUGAAAGACGGUUUUGCUUUCACUUAUAGAUGGAUCCGCGCCGCAUUAGCUAGUUGGUAAGGUAACGGCUUACCAAGGCGACGAUGCGUAGCCGACCUGAGAGGGUGAUCGGCCACACUGGAACUGAGACACGGUCCAGACUCCUACGGGAGGCAGCAGUAGGGAAUCUUCCGCAAUGGGCGAAAGCCUGACGGAGCAACGCCGCGUGAGUGAUGAAGGUCUUCGGAUCGUAAAACUCUGUUAUUAGGGAAGAACAAAUGUGUAAGUAACUAUGCACGUCUUGACGGUACCUAAUCAGAAAGCCACGGCUAACUACGUG